CAGUCAACAAGACUCUCAGGAGUUCCUCCACUACCUACUGCAAGGUCUUCACGAGGACAUCAACCGAAUCACCGCGAGGCCAAGGCACCUCACCACCGAGAUAGACGACAAUCUCAGCGAGUCCCAGAAAGCAGCAGAGGCCUGGAAAAGAUACCUGCGAUAAGAUGACAGCAAGAUUGUAGACUGCUUCGUGGGCCAGCUGAAGAGUACGCUCAAGUGCAGCGUCUCUGGCCACAAAUCUGUGACCGACUCCUUCUGGGAUCUCCCCCUCCCGAUACCCAAGGGCUCGGACCCCGUUACUCUCCAGCAGUGCCUGAGCCUGUUCACCAAAGAAGAAGUGCUGGACGGCGAUGAGAAGCCUCUCUUUAUGUGAUGUACAACCUGUACGCAGUGUCUAAUCACAGUGGUUCCACCUACUCUGGCCACUACACAGCUACCUGCCUGCACAUGAAAUCGGGCGAAUGGCACGAAUGCAGUGACACAAAGUAGGUGGAUUCGCUAAGCGAUUAUCAUUCUUUGUAUGCUUUUAUCCUUCACUUUUGUGGGCAGCGCAACCUUAUUCUUGUAACUUGUGAAGUUCAAUAUCAUUUGCAGUGUUUUAAUUGUCACUUUUGCUACAUGCAGACUUCAGAAUUUAUCCAAAAAUGUCUGUUUGAGGCAGUGACUCCUACCACUGGGAACAGAAAUCUCGCGCUUCUUGAAAAGAAUUUUUUUCUUUGGUGCUCUGCAAGUGUUAGCUAAACGACAUGUCAGUCAUAUCAGCUGUUCUUGCAAGCAUUGGCUCCAGUCUGCUGCACCCCGUUUAUUGCACAUGCACAGAUGGUCAGAACAAAGAAGACUAACUUAAAGAGUUUGGUUCCUCUGCAGUAGACUUUCCUAGUUCAAUCUAGCAGCACUGACCUUCCCCUCCGUCUGCCAUUAUUUGGAUGAUGACGCUGGUACUGGUGCUGUGGAAAUCGCAUUUGUGCGUCUUUCUCAAUUUUGGUCCUGAUUUUGUGAUUGAAAAACUUCGCAAUCAUUCAUUCAAGAAAGUCUUGCAGUCGUAAAAUAGAAGCUUGCAAGCUUCAGGAAAUCUCGGGAAGCAU
rnacentral:lncRNA from 1 species